AGUGUUAACGAAUUCGAUCCACAUCUUUCUUUGGUUUACAGUGACUUAUAUCCCAUCGACAGCGCAUUGUGGAGGACAAU
rnacentral:tRNA from 1 species